rnacentral:rRNA from 1 species
UGGGGAAUAUUGCACAAUGGUGGGAACCCUGAUGCAGCAAUGCCGCGUGCGGGAUGACGGCCUUCGGGUUGUAAACCGCUUUCAGCCAUGACGAAGCUUUUGUGACGGCAGUGGUAGAAGACGCACCGGCUAACUCCGUGACCGCAGCCGCGGCGACACGUAGGGUGCGAGCGCUGUACGGAAUUAUUGGGCGUAAAGAGAUUGUAGGCGGUUUGUCGCGUGGGUAGUGAAAACACGCAGCUUAACUGUGUGCCUGCUGUCGAUACGGGUUGGGUAGAGGAGGGUAGGGGGUCGUGGAAUUCCCAGUGGAGCGGUGGAGUUCGCAGAUAUCGGGAAGACUACCGGUAGCGAAGGCGGUUCCCUGGUCCAUUAAUGACGAUGAGGAGCGAAAGCGUGGGUAGCAAACAGG